rnacentral:rRNA from 1 species
CGAAUGCUGACAUAAGUAACGAUAAUGCGGGUGAAAAACCCGCACGCCGGAAGACCAAGGGUUCCUGUCCAACGUUAAUCGGGGCAGGGUGAGUCGACCCCUAAGGCGAGGCCGAAAGGCGUAGUCGAUGGGAAACAGGUUAAUAUUCCUGUACUUGGUGUUACUGCGAAGGGGGGACGGAGAAGGCUAUGUUAGCCGGGCGACGGUUGUCCCGGUUUAAGCAUGUAGGCGGAGGUUCCAGGUAAAUCCGGUACCUUUUUAACGCUGAGGUGUGAUGACGAGGCACUACGGUGCUGAAGUAACAAAUGCCCUGCUUCCAGGAAAAGCCUCUAAGCAUCAGGUAACACGAAAUCGUACCCCAAACCGACACAGGUGGUCAGGUAGAGAAUACCAAGGCGCUUGAGAGAACUCGGGUGAAGGAACUAGGCAAAAUGGUGCCGUAACUUCGGGAGAAGGCACGCUGAUAUGUAGGUGAAGCGGUUUACCCGUGGAGCUGAAAUCAGUCGAAGAUACCAGCUGGCUGCAACUGUUUAUUAAAAACACAGCACUGUGCAAACACGAAAGUGGACGUAUACGGUGUGACGCCUGCCCGGUGCCGGAAGGUUAAUUGAUGGGGUUAUCCGUAAGGAGAAGCUCUUGAUCGAAGCCCCGGUAAACGGCGGCCGUAACUAUAACGGUCCUAAGGUAGCGAAAUUCCUUGUCGGGUAAGUUCCGACCUGCACGAAUGGCGUAAUGAUGGCCAGGCUGUCUCCACCCGAGACUCAGUGAAAUUGAACUCGCUGUGAAGAUGCAGUGUACCCGCGGCAAGACGGAAAGACCCCGUGAACCUUUACUAUAGCUUGACACUGAACACUGGUCCUUGAUGUGUAGGAUAGGUGGGAGGCUUUGAAGUGUGGACGCCAGUCUGCAUGGAGCCAUCCUUGAAAUACCACCCUUUAAUGGCUGGUGUUCUAACGUGGACCCGUUACCCGGGUUGCGGACAGUGUCUGGUGGGUAGUUUGACUGGGGCGGUCUCCUCCUAAAGAGUAACGGAGGAGCACGAAGGUUAGCUAAUCCUGGUCGGACAUCAGGAGGUUAGUGCAAAGGCAUAAGCUAGCUUGACUGCGAGAGUGACGGCUCGAGCAGGUGCGAAAGCAGGUCUUAGUGAUCCGGUGGUUCUGAAUGGAAGGGCCAUCGCUCAACGGAUAAAAGGUACUCCGGGGAUAACAGGCUGAUACCGCCCAAGAGUUCAUAUCGACGGCGGUGUUUGGCACCUCGAUGUCGGCUCAUCACAUCCUGGGGCUGAAGUAGGUCCCAAGGGUAUGGCUGUUCGCCAUUUAAAGUGGUACGCGAGCUGGGUUUAGAACGUCGUGAGACAGUUCGGUCCCUAUCUGCCGUGGGCGCUGGAGAAUUGAGGGGGGCUGCUCCUAGUACGAGAGGACCGGAGUGGACGCAUCACUGGUGUUCGGGUUGUCAUGCCAAUGGCAUUGCCCGGUAGCUAAAUGCGGAAGAGAUAAGUGCUGAAAGCAUCUAAGCACGAAACUUGC